rnacentral:SRP_RNA from 1 species
CAGAGGAUUAGAUGGGGAGCUACCGGUUCCCUGCAGCGCAAAUCCGGUUCAUGGCGCAUCAAAGCUUGAGGGCGAUGCUAGAGACUUAUGAGGCCCUUUUAAUCAACUGAGAAGCUUCGUCCUUUGGAACUGAAUUUAUGGCGAAAACUAGGAGAUCCGGAAGGAAGCACUAGUAAACCGUAAAUUUGGUGUUCAGAGGGUCACGAAGUGGAGAAGGUUAGAAGGAUUAACCUUGUGAGCUUCUAGCAACCACCAAUGGCGCAUCCUCUG